UACGGAGGGGGCUAGCGUUGUUCGGAAUUACUGGGCGUAAAGCGCGCGUAGGCGGCCUUUCAAGUUGGGAGUGAAAUCCCGGAGCUUAACUUCGGAAUUACUUUCAAUACUGUUUGGCUAGAGAGUGGUAGAGGAUAGUGGAAUUCCUAGUGUAGAGGUGAAAUUCGUAGAUAUUAGGAGGAACACCAGAGGCGAAAGCGACUAUCUGGGCCAUUUCUGACGCUAAGGCGCGAAAGCGUGGGGAGCAAAC
rnacentral:rRNA from 1 species